CAACUACGCCCUCUGUCCCAAAUUUCUUAUCUUAGAUUUGUCUAGAUACAGAUGGAUCAAAUACUAAAGUGUGACUUGAUAAAUCCGUAUGUAGACAAAUCUAAGACAAGAAUUUUGGGAUGGAGGGAGUACUUU
rfam:Triticum urartu cultivar G1812 contig793448, whole genome shotgun sequence.